CAAAGGAAUUGACGGGGCCCUGCACAAGCAGCGGAGCGUGUGGUUUAAUUCGAUGUUACACGAAGAACCUUACAGGGUUUGACAUGCAAGUGGUAGGAAGCCGAAAGGUGACCGACCCUUCGGGGAGCUUGCACAGGUGCUGCAUGGCUGUCGUCAGCUCGUGUCGUGAGGUGUUAGGUUAAGUCCUGUAACGAGCGCAACCCCUGCCGUUAGUUACAUGUGUCUAACGGGACUGCCCGGCUCAACUGGGAGGAAGGUGGGGACGACGUCAAGUCAGCAUGGCCUUUAUAUCCUGGGCUACACACACGCUACAAUGGUCGGUACAAUGGGUCGCCAAGCCGCGAGGCGGAGCCAAUCCUCCAAAACCGGCCUCAGUUCAGAUUGUAGGCUGCAACUCGCCUGCAUGAAGUUGGAGUUGCUAGUAACCGCGCGUCAGCUAUAGUGCGGUGAAUACGUUCCCGGGGCUU
rnacentral:rRNA from 1 species